ACUUGAGUAGCUUAUAAAGUGCAUGACAUUGAAGAUGUUAGGGAGGUUAUUGCAACCCUUAAGUA
rnacentral:tRNA from 1 species